GAUGAAGAACGUAGUGAAAUGCGAUACGUAAUGUGAAUUGCAGAAUUCAGUGAAUCAUCGAAUCUUUGAACGCAUAUUGCGCUCUCUGGUAUUCCGGAGAGCAUGCUUGUUUGAGUAUCAGUAAACACCUCAACUUCCAUAUCUUUUUUGAAAUGGGAGUUGGACUUGAGUGAUCCCAACGCUUUUCCUCACCGAAAAGUGGCGGGUUACUUGAAAUGCAGGUGCAGCUGGACUUUUCUCUGAGCUAUAAGCAUAUCUAUUUAGUCUGCCUAAAAUCAGAUUAUUACCUUUGCUGCAGCUAACAUAAAGGAGAUUAGUUCUUGUGCUGACUGAUGCAGGAUUCACAAAGACAGGCUUCGGCCGACUUUGUAAACUCGAUCUCAAAUCAAGUAAGACUACCCGCUGAACUUAAGCAUAUCAAUAAGCGGAGGA
rnacentral:misc_RNA from 1 species